GAUAAUCCAAAUAUAACUUUGACAUACUUUGUAAGUAGGCAAACAUUUUAUAAAUCUGAAAAAGUAUGCACUCUGCAUGAGUCCAAAAUUAAAGUCGGUUUGAGACUGGAAUCCAGAGUCCAUAUCUACAUGAGGAUAACGCACUUCUUCCUCUAUAAAUAAGCACAUUCUUCCUCCGAUCCUUCAAAAAGAAAAGCUAAAUUUUCAAAAAUAUACAAUCCAACAUAAUAUAUUACACACGUAGUCCAAUUACAAGAGAAAUUAGAAGGUUGAAAUGGGUUGGUUGAUAAGAGAGAGAAGAGGGAUGAGCUGGAGAGACCAAGCAAUAGAGUCAUCAUCAACACCUCCUUUUCCGUUGAUAGUUUUCUUUGGGCUGGUAAUUUUGCUGAUGUUUUUGGCGAGCUACUCGGAGCACAUGAGCAACGUUCCAAGAAUAGUAUGUGGCUGCUGCUUUUCUUGUUGCCUAUGCUGGUUGUACUCAUGGUAUACGCCAUGCUUGUUAGCAACAAGUGGUUUUAUCUGGACCCCGCCCGGAGGUCCGAGGCCGGUGUUGUACGAGUCCAUGCGCCAAGAAGGAAGCCCUCCCUGGGGUUCCGCUUUGCUGGUGGUGUUGCUUUUGCUCAUCGUUCAUUAUCAAAAUUCAUAUCAGUCUAGCUUGUUUCGUCCAAUUUAGCCAGCUACUAUUAUAACUAUGUUAGGUUGCGAUUUGCGAAUUUAGUCAUCGUAGAUUCCAAGGUUGAUUUUUCACAUGAUAACUCAACUAAUAGUUAUUAUCUCAUAAUCAGAAAGUCACUUUUUCUUGA